rnacentral:rRNA from 1 species
GAUGAACGCUGACAGAAUGCUUAACACAUGCAAGUCUUUGGCGAAUCUGUGCUUGCACAGGCUAGCCAAGGCGGACGGGUGAGUAACGCGUAAAGAACUUGCCCUGCAGACAGGGAUAACAGACGGAAACGACUGAUAACACCUGAUACAGUUGCCGGCACGCAUGUGCCUGGCAAUGAAAAGAGAUGCUGCAGGAGAGCUUUGCGUCCUAUUAGCUUGUUGGUGUGGUGACGGCUCACCAAGGCGAUGAUAGGUAGCCGGCCUGAGAGGGUGAACGGCCACAAGGGGACUGAGAUACGGCCCUUACUCCUACGGGAGGCAGCAGUGGGGAAUAUUGGACAAUGGGGGCAACCCUGAUCCAGCAAUUCUGUGUGCACGAAGAAGGUUUUCGGAUUGUAAAGUGCUUUCAGCAGGGAAGAAGAAAGUGACGGUACCUGCAGAAGAAGCGACGGCUAAAUACGUG